AGUCCCGCUCUGUAAACUGCUCUCUGAGCUGCUGUGCUCUUCUAGAGGAAUGGAGGCUCCAUGCUCCUCCCAGUCCUGAUGACUUCCCAAGGUUCUCACGUGCAGCCCCAGCUGCCCCUUUGACAUCUCUGCCUGGAUUGUACAGCACAGCAGCCACACAGGAAAAGUGCAAAGACCCUAGCUGUGUGCAGUGUGACGAGUGUGCUCCAGCCACCCUGUUGUUCACCCCCACCCACCACAAGGUUAAUCGCUAUCCUAGCCUCUGUCAUCACAGGUGUCUGUUGAGCCGGUGUAUACCUUAAACCUGAAAUAAACCCUCCGAAUUCCCAUCGGUCUCUCCCAGCUCCUGGAAUUCUGCAACAUAAGCACAUUUGUUGAAUGAAUAAGUGGCGGGCAACCUGUUCGGGCUGAGCUCUCCAUCGGCAUCUAAGACCCUGGCUCCGCCCCACCACCCUCACCCCCACCCCUGCUAGAACAGCUGCUUUCUGGAAUUCCUAAUGUGGUGAAUCUGAGCAGGCGCAUUAAGAGCCUAGGGCGUGGCUCUCCCCUUGCUCCUUUCCAUCUGUUCCAACCUCUCUAGCCUGGGAGGUGGAAUAAAGAAGACUUGGAGAAGCAGAGGAUAUAAGCAAGAAGUCCACUCUGGUUCUUGAAAGCCCCUGAGACUUGGGGGCUGUUUAUUAUUGAGCCAAAGCUCUACUUACUGCCUUGAUAAACUUAGUGGCUUAAAACAACAUAUAUUUAUUACCUUGCAGUUCUGGAAGUCAGAAGUCCAAAAUGGGUGUGUCUCACUGGCCAGGGAUUUAGCUCAGUGAUUCUGCUGUCUCCCAAGCUCAAGGACCUGAGUUCUAU